AUGAAGACCGCAGCUAAAUGCGCGUCAGAAUGUGAACUGCAGGACACAUGAACACCGACACGUUGAACGCAUAUUGCGCAUCGGACGUUUCAACCCGACCGAUGCACACAUCCUUGAGUGCCUACCAAGUUAUCGAUACACUUUACCUAACUGACAYUGUGUUCUACRCUCGGCACGAGUUAUGGACCAUGUCGCAGAAUGGCGUGCUCGGACCCGUACGUGUUUCCUACGCGAUGGUACACGUUGGUGGGGCCUUGGGCGCUGAAAGUGAGAGAGCUAAGGUAGAGCAGAGCGCCAAGCGCACAUGCACUAACAGUGGGUGUGUGUAAGGCGAGAGUAUGAGACGAGCACACCGCGACAAGUCGCAAUGGUUCGAUCACGGGAAACGAUCAGGGAUCAAACCCCUCAUUUGCUGCUAGCCUAAUCACCUAGAGGCAAGUGAAUGUUGGGGUCCCUCGAUCGUCUCUGGUCGUGUAAUACUUUCGGCCCAACGGUGUGUUGCGUUUAUGUUAGCAAUGACUAACUUUCUCUCUUACCUCAAGUAGGCCUCAAGUGAUGUGU
rnacentral:rRNA from 1 species